AUACAGGGUGUGGAUGCUUCCCCCGAAUGCAGAUUAUCUCCUGGUUGUCAUUAUCUGCUGUUGUUUUCAGUACAUCCUUGCGCUUCAAUUGUGCUCUCUCAGUAGACACCACAAGAACGAAAGUAAAUUCAGAAUUCUCAUUGCUGUUCAGUGUUGUUUCUGAGAGUCAUGAGGGGAAGAUGUUUUUUCCUUUUCGGAUUGAAGCUGAAAUCUUCACAUUAUCACUGGUCUUCGUCCACUGAGGCUGAUAGUGAAAUAGCAAGUAUUGGAAGAUUCCUGGUAAAGUUUUGCAAGUUGGCAAAAAGGCAUCAGAAGUAUCAGGAGAAUGCACCGGGAAGAUCCCAAGGAGAAUACUGGAAGAAAGGUUUCCGUGAUGCAUAUUGUUUCUUCCUACACAAAGAUUUCUGAGAUUGUAUAAUCUUGGACCUCUCUUAAUAGGACAGUGGGCUUUGGUAUCUAGCCUUAUCUGGGAGUCCACCUCAUUUCUCAGGAGGUAAACAACAUUAGCCACUCCUAAUGAAGGUGACUGAAACUUCUUAUUUGGGGCCAACAUAGUUAGGGCCUGUGCUGUUACUACAGUUGUUUUGCCUCAAUAUUUGCUACACUUCUCAUACAUUUUGGUACAAAAUUUAUCGCUUCUUAUCCAAUUACCAGGGUAGAAGUAAAAUGGAAUCCUGUUGUGAAAGUGAUUCAAGCAAUUAACAUUCAAAAAAACAAACAAACAAAAAAAAAACCUACUGCUUUCAUCAUUCACCUUGUGUACUCAAGACACCAGUGGUGUUCACAGUUCUUGUUGCCAUUGGUGCUCCCAGCUGUGUGACAAUGUGUCAAAUCCUCAAGCUAGAGCCUUGUUCUUUCUUUUUCCCCCUCUCUGAAACACUCAUUAUUGUUGGUUUUGGAAUGGUGGUAGUAGAAAGGCCAACAGGCAUUGUCAGUGACUCAGUACGGUGUCUGAGGGGUGUCUGUAUUCCAAGUACCCGCUGAGGGCUGACCCAGCCCUUCAGGUGCUUCUGGGGACAGCCCUGCUGUUGGGUGUUUGCUGUAGG